UACGUAGGGCGCAAGCGUUAUCCGGAAUUAUUGGGCGUAAAGAGCUCGUAGGCGGUUUGUCGCGUCUGCCGUGAAAGUCCGGGGCUCAACUCCGGAUCUGCGGUGGGUACGGGCAGACUAGAGUGAUGUAGGGGAGACUGGAAUUCCUGGUGUAGCGGUGAAAUGCGCAGAUAUCAGGAGGAACACCGAUGGCGAAGGCGGGUCUCUGGGCCGAUAUCGACGCUGAGGAGCGAAAGCGUGGGGAGCGAACAGG
rnacentral:rRNA from 1 species